rnacentral:rRNA from 1 species
CAGCAGCCGCGGUAAUACGUAGGACCCAAGCGUUAUCCGGAGUGACUGGGCGUAAAGAGUUGCGUAGGCGGUUAGUAAAGUGAAUAGUGAAAUCUGGUGGCUCAACCAUACAGGCUAUUAUUCAAACUCACUAACUCGAGAAUGGUAGAGGUAACUGGAAUUUCUUGUGUAGGAGUGAAAUCCGUAGAUAUAAGAAGGAACACCAAUGGCGUAGGCAGGUUACUGGACCAUUUCUGACGCUAAGGCACGAAAGCGUGGGGAGCGAACCGGAUUAGAUACCCGGGUAGUCCACGCCGUAAACGAUGGAUACUAGCUGUUGGAGGUAUCGACCCCUUCAGUAGCGAAGCUAACGCGUUAAGUAUCCCGCCUGUGGAGUACGGUUGCAAGACUAAAACUCAAAGGAAUUGAC